AAUCACCCCAAGAGUCGUGAAGUUCUUCUCUGUCUCAGUUAACUAGUACUCGGCCUCUUCAAAGGAGGAUUCCCCUACAAAAGUAGAUGAGUUUAGUCUUUUAUACCUCUCAAUGUAGUCUGGGUCCAUCAUGGGAGGAACUGGGUCCCGUGGGAGAUGGACUGGAUUGUGCUUGUGAUGCAGUUAGGGCACCAGGUUAUACUAUGGCGGCGCCGGGUAGUACUGUGGCUGGGGCACUGGAUCAUACUCUGGUGGUGCUGGAUGGUACUGUGGAGGAGUAGGGUCGUACUGGGGUGGCUCAGGAUCCUCUUACUGUAGGGGUGGCUCGACCUGUGGCAGCGAGAGAGGGUCAGGAAGCUCCCUCCUUUCCUCCCG
rnacentral:lncRNA from 1 species